UAACUGUGGAGACAUCUUGAUACCCUUGU
rnacentral:piRNA from 1 species